AUAUUAUUAAGUGGUGGAAAAGAAACCAAAAGGGAUUCCCCCAGUAGCGGCGAGCGAAAAGGGACCAGCCCAAAGCCAAAUCCCGCGUCCUUUGGGCGUCGGGAAAUGUGGCGUAUGGGAGGCGGAACUUUCCGCGCGUUGGAGGCGACUCAAGUCCCCAUGAAUGGGGCUACGACCGAAGUGGGUGUGAGUCCCGUUCAGUCGCUCUCCUCGCGCGGAGUCUCCGUUCUCUCGGGAGUCGGGUUGCUUGAAAGUGCAGCCCAAAGUGGGUGGUAUGCUCCACCUAAGGCUAAAUAUCCCCGAGAGACCGAUAGCAAAAAAGUACCGUGAGGGAAAGUUGAAAAGAACUUUGAAGAGAGAGUUCAAUAGUACGUGAAACCGCUUAGAGGUAAACGGGUGGGCCCUCGAAGUCUGAAGGCAGAGAGAUUCAGUGCGGGCACUAUCGAGAUUGGCGGAGCGAGGUUGGCGUACACUAACGAGUAGGUGACGCCCUCCUUGAGUUCCUGCCUAGUGUCCGCGCGCAAUUCUAUUCUGUCGGAAGAGGCCGCGACUGGUUGGUCGAUUGUUGGAAGGACCUUGCCCCGAGAAGGUGGCCUGCCCUGCUUCGGUUGGGUGGGUGUUAAGCCUGGGCGGUAUAUCCGACUAUCGUGCCGACUCAGGACGAGAGAAACCUCGCUGAGCGUUCCCUCCGAGAGGAGCGGGCCGCGUUGCACGUCGCUCGAACGUCUCUGCACCACACUUGCGGUGGUGCGAGUAACGAGACGGGGCGUGCUUCACGGAUCCGCCAUGGGAAGCUCGAGGUCGGCGGUCAGUAGAUCGGGUCCCACCCGACCCGUCUUG
rnacentral:rRNA from 1 species